GACGAACGCUGGCGGCGUGCUUAACACAUGCAAGUCGAACGGAGAGGCCCUGCUUUUGUGGGGUGCUCGAGUGGCGAACGGGUGAGUAACACGUGAGUAACCUGCCCUUGACUUUGGGAUAACUUCAGGAAACUGGUGCUAAUACCGGAUAUUAGCUCCUGCCGCAUGGUGGGGGUUGGAAAGUUUAGGUGGUUGGGGAUGGUCUCGCGGCUUAUUAGCUUGUUGGUGGGGUAGUGGCUUACUACGGCUUUGACGGGUAGUCGGCCUGAGAGGGUGACCGGCGACAUUGGGCCUAGGAUACGGCCCAGAGUAGUACGGGAGGCAGUAGUGGGGAAUAUUGAACAAUGGGCGGGAGCCGGAUGCAGCGACGUCGCGUGCGGGAUGACGGCAUUCGGGUUGGAAACCGCUUUCGCCUGUGACGAAGCGUGAGUGACGGUAAUGGGUAAAGAGGCACCGGCUAACUACGUG
rnacentral:rRNA from 1 species